rnacentral:tRNA from 1 species
UUUGAAUUAACUCAGUCGGAUAGAGUACAAGCCUUUUAAGCUUGGUGCGGGGGUUCGAUUCCCUCAUUCAAAA